rnacentral:rRNA from 1 species
CCUACGGGAGGCAGCAGUGAGGAAUAUUGGUCAAUGGACGCAAGUCUGAACCAGCCAUGCCGCGUGCAGGAAGACGGCUCUAUGAGUUGUAAACUGCUUUUGUACGAGGGUAAACGCAGAUACGCGUAUCUGUCUGAAAGUAUCGUACGAAUAAGGAUCGGCUAACUCCGUGCCAGCAGCCGCGGUAAUACGGAGGAUUCAAGCGUUAUCCGGAUUUAUUGGGUUUAAAGGGUGCGUAGGCGGUCGGGUAAGUCAGAGGUGAAAUCCCGAGGCUCAACUUCGGGAGUGCCUCUGAUACUGGUCGGCUAGAGAGUAGUUGAGGUAGGCGGAAUGGAAGGUGUAGCGGUGAAAUGCUUAGAGAUCAGACAGAACACCGAUUGCGAAGGCAGCAUACC